rnacentral:rRNA from 1 species
UACGAAAGAGGCUAGCGUUGUUCGGAAUUACUGGGCGUAAAGCGCACGUAGGCGGGCUGCCAAGUCAGGGGUGAAAGCCCAGAGCUCAACUCUGGAAUUGCCUCUAAAACUGGUAAGCUCGAGGAUGUGAGAGGUGAGUGGAAGUCCGAGUGUAGAGGUGAAAUUCGUAGAUAUUCGGAAGAACACCGGUUGCGAAGGCGACUCACUGGCACAUUUCUGACACUGAGGUGCGAAAGCGUGGGGAGCAAACAGG